rnacentral:misc_RNA from 1 species
UCUCCGUUGGUGAACCAGCGGAGGGAUCAUUACCGAGUUUACGACUCCCAAACCCAAUGUGAACCAUACCCAACUGUUGCCUCGGCGGGGUCACGCCCCGGGUGCGUCGCAGCCCCGGAACCAGGCGCCCGCCGGAGGGACCAACCAAACUCUUUCUGUAGUCCCCUCGCGGACGUUAUUUUUACAGCUCUGAGCAAAAAUUCAAAAUGAAUCAAAACUUUCAACAACGGAUCUCUUGGCUCUG